rnacentral:rRNA from 1 species
CCUACGGGUGGCAGCAGUGGGGAAUAUUGGACAAUGGGCGAAAGCCUGAUCCAGCCAUGCCGCGUGUGUGAAGAAGGCCUUCGGGUUGUAAAGCACUUUCAGUGGGGAAGAAAGCCUUGGGGCUAAUACCCUCGAGGAAGGACAUCACCCACAGAAGAAGCACCGGCUAACUCCGCGCCAGCAGCCGCGGUAAUACGGAGGGUGCGAGCGUUAAUCGGAAUUACUGGGCGUAAAGCGCGCGUAGGCGGUCUGAUAAGCCGGUUGUGAAAGCCCCGGGCUCAACCUGGGAACGGCAUCCGGAACUGUCAGGCUAGAGUGCAGGAGAGGAAGGUAGAAUUCCCGGUGUAGCGGUGAAAUGCGUAGAGAUCGGGAGGAAUACCAGUGGCGAAGGCGGCCUUCUGGACUGACACUGACGCUGAGGUGCGAAAGCGUGGGUAGCAAACAGGAUUAGAUACCCUGGUAGUC